CCUACGGGAGGCAGCAGUGAGGAAUAUUGGUCAAUGGACGAGAGUCUGAACCAGCCAAGUAGCGUGAAGGAUGACUGCCCUCUGGGUUGUAAACUUCUUUUAUAUGGGAAUAAAACGUUCCACGUGUGGGAUUUUGUAUGUACCAUAUGAAUAAGGAUCGGCUAACUCCGUGCCAGCAGCCGCGGUAAUACGGAGGAUCCGAGCGUUAUCCGGAUUUAUUGGGUUUAAAGGGAGCGUAGGUGGAUUGUUAAGUCAGUUGUGAAAGUUUGCGGCUUAACCGUAAAAUUGCAGUUGAAACUGGCAGUCUUGAGUACAGUAGAGGUGGGCGGAAUUCGUGGUGUAGCGGUGAAAUGCUUAGAUAUCACGAAGAACUCCGAUUGCGAAGGCAGUUCACUGGACUGCAACUGACACUGAGGCUCGAAAGUGUGGGUAUCAAACAGGAUUAGAUACCCGAGUAGUC
rnacentral:rRNA from 1 species